GACGAACGCUGGCGGCGUGCCUAAUACAUGCAAGUAGAACGCAGUUGCGAACAGGUGAGUAACGCGUAGGUAACUGCCUCAUAGCGGGGGAUAACUAUUGGAAACGAUAGCUAAUACCGCAUACUGUGAGAUGGACCUGCGUUGUAUUAGCUAGUUGGUGAGGUAAAGGCUCACCAAGGCGACGAUACAUACCCGACCUGUGAGGGUGUACGGCCACACUGUGACCGGGUAACGGCCCAAGCUCCCAAGGGGAGCAGGAGUAGGGAAUCAGCGGAAAUGGACGGAAGUCUGGACGAGCCAAGCCGCGUGAGUGAAGGAGGUUUUCGGGUCGUAAAGCUAUGUUGUUAGAGAAGCGGUAACUAAACAGAAAGGGACGGCUAACUACGUGCCAGCAGCCGCGGUAAUAC
rnacentral:rRNA from 1 species